CACCCGCGGGGCUCAGCCCCGAAGGCUGCAGCUUCGGGGGAGGCGCGGUCGCCGAGGUCCAGCUGGUGGGGCGAGAGACGUCGCCCCUCGGAGGAUGCUCUCGGAACUUGGGAGAGGAAGGAGGGAAGAGAAGAGGGGAAAGGGGCCGUCGAUGUUUUUGAUGUCUGUGCUUUAAUGGAGGCCACCAAUAUUGAGAAGACGGGGUUGGCCGAGGCAGCCCGCACGCUGCUGCUUGCGAGCGCUCGAGUCAAAGCUAGGGCCAACCGCGGCUUGUCCGGGUGCCCUAAGGGGGCGGACACUUGGUUUAGCACCGGGACACAGAAUAGCCACCGGGGUAGGAAGAUGCGUUCACUUUGCUUACCUGUUGGCAAGAGGGACAUACAAAAAUAACGUAACGUGACAUCGUUGACAACGGUAGCUCUUUGAUUACACAAAAGCCAAUUUUACCUUCCCGCAAAAGCCAGUUGACGCCUUUGGAACUUUUAUUUGCGGCAUUUUGGCGCCCUCUGGCUGUGUUUGGAUCGCUUUCAUGCUCGCCUGCGUCCCAGCCAAGAAAAAAUCGAUGGAGCUGCAGGUUGUCCUCAGGAUGGUUCUGCCCUCAGGACCUGGGCGUGAAUUCAGGGACAGGGUGGCCCUCCAGAACCGGAGUGACAAACUGUAACCAUACUUAGGGAGGCAGACGUCAAAGGCAAGUACAUCUGUAUUCAACUGGGUAAAGCCAUGUGAAGACGUGCCUGCCUCCCUGUUACCUUCCACCAUGAUUGUAAGCUUCCUGAGGCCUCCCCAGCCAUGCCUGCUGUAUAGCCUGCAGAACAGUAGCAACCCUUCUUUGGAUUCUGCUGCAGCAUUGUGGUGGUCCCCUGAAACUAAGGGGUAAAACGUGCUUCCAGCAAGAUGCAUGAUCUCUACACAAACCAACAAAUCCUGCUGCUAAAAAGCCAAGAGGUUGGAUGUCUGUAUCGAGUUGUGGCUUGCUUUUCUGUUCUUUCUUAAAAGUAUUGACAAAGCAGAAGGUCAGUGCUAUUAUGGAAUUUACAUUUCUAUGAGAAAGAUAAGGAGGAAGCAGGAUGAAAAUGCUGACAGGGUUCCAUUGUAAAAGGGAAGAACGCUGAGAAAGAGAAGCUUGCCCUGAGACCAUUUUCAAAUAAUAAUAAUAAACUCAUCAGCAAGAAGGAUAACAAAGAGAACAAAGAAAUCUGGAAGAAAUGAAAAUAAUGGAAUUCACUUUGAUUUUAUGGCUUUAAUGCAUAAUAAACAUGCUAGAAAAUAUCAAGUCUAACCCACACUGGUCCUUGGCUCCCUGUUUCUUCCACUCUUCUUUUCUUUUUUUUUUUUUUAAACAGAGUUUUGCUCUUGUUGCCCAGGCUGGAGUACAAUGGAGUGAUCUCAGCUCACUGAAACCUCUGCCUCCGGGGUUCAAGCAAUUCUCCUGCCUCAGGCUCCGGAGUAGCUGGGAUUACAGGUGUGUGCCACCACACCCAGCUAAUUUUGUAUUUUUAGUAGAGACAGGGUUUCUCCAUGUUGGUCAGGCUGGUCUCAAACUCCUGACCUCAGGUGAUCCACCCGCCUCGGCCUCCAAAGUGCUGGGAUUACAGGCAUGCACCACCGCCCCCAGCUCUUCCACUCUUUUCUAUUGGCAAGACUGUCUUACUCUUCUGGAAUUGUCCCCACUCUAGAAAAGAGAUAAAAAAGGAGAAAGAGGCCGGGUGCGGUGGCUCACACCUGUAAUCCCAGCACUUUGGGAGGCCAAGGCGGGGGGAUCACCUGAGAUCAGGAGUUUGAGACCAGCCUGGCCAACAUGGUGAAACCCUGUGUCUACUAAAAUAUAAAAAUUAGCCCAGUAAGAUGGCAGGUGACUGUAAUCCCAGCUAGUCUUGAGGCUGAGAUGG
ensembl:lncRNA BASP1-AS1 BASP1 antisense RNA 1